rnacentral:rRNA from 1 species
UACAGAGGUCUCAACCGUUGUUCGGAUUCAUUGGGCGUAAAGGGUGCGUAGGCGGUCGCGCAAGUCGGAUGUGAAAUCUCAGGGCUCAACCCUGAAACUGCAUUCGAUACUGCGUGGCUAGAGUACGAAAGAGGGUCGCGGAAUUCCCGGUGUAGAGGUGAAAUUCGUAGAUAUCGGGAGGAACACCGGUGGCGAAGGCGGCGACCUGGGUCGAGACUGACGCUGAGGCGCGAAAGCGUGGGGAGCAAACAGG